UCAUUUUAAGGGGGCUCAAAGGCAUUUUUCUUUUUAAAAAAAAAUUGAGUUAGGUCCCUAUGCAUAUCCUCCCCUUUCUCCCUCCCGUUGCUGUCGACCUCCCCUCCGGCUAAGGGAAGUUCUCAGCAUUGCCCAUACCGUGACGCUUCCUUUUUCCGUUUGUAGCCAUCGACAACGUUGAAGGAGAAGGAAAGAAAGCUACACUCUGCUGCCAACGUUGAACUAUCUCGCUGCCGACGUGUUAUGGCCAAUUCGAAACCGAAAAUAGCUUCCCCGCCCCCAAAAACCUCAACUUGGACAGUUACAGCCUCUGACGCCGCCACUGGACCAGUGAUUGGAAUGAGUGUGGUUUCGUCGGACUUGUUCAGUUUUUGGCGAUUCUGGUGGCCUUCUAGUGGUCAUUUGGUGAAGAUAACUGCAUAUCUAGACUCUCAACAUCUUGAUCUAUAAUUUGGCAUCCUUGGAUACCAUUUUUGCCUUCGUCGAAAAAUUCUGACGAACGGACUCUGGUGACCUCAUGAUGCGUGCUGGCAGGUAGAAAAUUCGUCUCGGCUUCUCGAUUUCUCUGGUGCUAGUUCGCGAAUUUUAGCUCGUCUUGAUAAUCUAUUGAUUCAGCCCGCUCUACCCAAGACAUAGGAGCAAAGCAAGGGGGUCUUUAAAACUAAAGUAGAAUCGCAAGGGUUUUAGCGAUAUAACUAUGAAAAGCAAUUCAUCCAAUCUCACUGGAAAGGAAAAACUACCGACUUCUGCAAAGCUAAAGUCCUUCCUUUUAUAUAUGAUGUUUCUACUAUAGAAGGAAUACGUACGACUAUGCUCCUCUUCUUCUUUUGAUUCUUUCUUCUUGUUUCUAUUUUGGAAUGAAGGCUGAAUCGAAGAAAUUAUUUUUCUAUUCUUGAUUCAAAACUAUUAUGCAUAAAAGAUAUUUUGUGUAAUCUGACUCUAUCUUUUUGUAGAAUAAUAGUGUUUGAUUGUCUGCUAUUUUGAAAGGUGGAUAUAUGCUCUUGACUUGAUA